AAUCAACGCUGGCGGCGUGCCUAACACAUGCAAGUCGAACGCGAAAGGGGGCGUUCGGCUCCUAAGUAGAGUGGCGUCCGGGUGAGUAACACGUAGGUAAUCUGCCUUCGGGUGGGGAAGUAACCAGUCGAAAGAUUGGCUAAUACCGCAUAAUGCAGCGGCACCUAAUGGUGAUUAGUUGUUAAAGACGGGGGAGUCGUAAGACCUCGCGCCUGAAGAGGAGCCUGCGGCAGAUUAGCUAGUUGGUGA
rnacentral:rRNA from 1 species